CCAUAAAACGGGUGACAGGUUCCCUUUAAAUGCAUUCUCUGGGGUUUUAAUAUUGAUGACCUAUCUUCAGGAUAGGUCAUCAAUAUCAGAUCGGCGGGGGUCCGACACGCCUGCCAAUCAGCUGCAUG